rnacentral:rRNA from 1 species
UACAGAGGUCUCAAGCGUUGUUCGGAUUCAUUGGGCGUAAAGGGUGCGUAGGCGGCGCGGUAAGUCGGGUGUGAAAUCUCGGAGCUUAACUCCGAAACUGCAUUCGAUACUGCCGUGCUUGAGGACUGGAGAGGAGACUGGAAUUUACGGUGUAGCGGUGAAAUGCGUAGAUAUCGUAAGGAACACCUGUGGCGAAAGCGGCUCACUGGACCACAACUGACGCUGAGGCACGAAAGCUAGGGGAGCAAACAGG